GGUAGAGAGUUUGAUUAUGGCUCAGGAUUGAACGCUGGCGGGAUGCUUUACACAUGCAAGUCGAACGGCAGCACGGGACUGGUCUUGUGGGGCGAGUGGCAGAACGGGUGAGUAAUGUAUAAUUGGAACGCGUCGCAGUAGCGGGGGAUACGCGAAAGCGUAGCUAAUACCGCAUACGCCCUUCGGGGGAAAGCGGGGACCUCGGGCCUCGCAAUUAUUAGAGCGGCUGAUAUCGGAUUAGCUAGUUGCGGGGUAACGGCUCACCAAGGCGACGAUCCGUAGCUGGUUUGAGAGGACGACCAGCCACACUGGGACUUCGAGACACGGCCCACCCUACGGAGGCAGCAGGGGGGAAUUUUGGAUAAUGGGGGGCAAAACCCUGAUCCAGCCAUCCCGCGUGUGCGAUGAAGGCCUUCGGGUUAAAGCACUUUAAUGCAGGAAAGAAACGGCACGGGAUAAUACCCUGUGCAACUGACGGUACCUGCAGAAUAAGCACCGGCUAACUACGUGCCAGCAGCCGCGGUAAUUACGUAGGGUGCAAGCGUUAAUCGGAAUUACUGGGCGUAAAGCGUGCGCAGGCGGUUCGAAAGAAAGAUGUGGGAAUCCCAGAGCUUAACUUUGGAACUGCAUUUUUAACUACCGAGCUAGAGUGUGUCAGAGGGAGGAGAAUUCGGGCGGUAGCAGUGAAAUGCGUAGAUAUGCGGGGAGUGGAACACCGAUGGCGAAGGCAGCUCUCCUGGGAUAACACCGACGUGCUCAUGCACGAAAGCGUGGGGAGCAACAGAGGAUUAGAUACCCUUGGUAGUCCACGCCCUAAAACGAUGUCAACUAGCUGCGGUUGGGGCCUUCGGGCCUUUAUAGCAGCUAACGUGUAGCUGACCGCCUGGGGAGUACGGUCGCAAGAUUAAAACUCAAAGGAAUUGACGGGGACCCGCAAUACGGUGGAUGAUGGAUUAAUUCGAUGCAACGCGAAAAACCUUACCUACCCUUGACAUGUCUGGGAAUCCCAAAGAGGAUUUGGGAGUGCCUUCGCAAGAGAACCGGAACACAGGUGCGUAUGCAGGCUGUCGUCAGCUCGUGCCGAGAUGUUGGGUUAAGUCCUUUCCGCAACGAUGCGUAAACCCUUGUCAUUAGUUGCUACGAAAGGGCACUCUAAUGAGACUGCCGGUGACAAACCGGAGGAAGGUGGGGAUGACGUCAAGUCUCAUGGCUCCCAGGUAGUGCCUGUAUCAAUGUCAUACAAUGGUCGGGACACAGAGGGUCGCUAACCCGCGAGGGGGAGCCAGUAAUCCCAGAAACCCGAUCGUAGUCCGGAUCGCAGUCUGCAACCUCGACUGCGUGGAAGUCGAAUCGCUAGUAAUCGCGGAUCAGCAUGUCGCGGUGAAUACGUUCCUGGUCUUGUACACACUGCCUGUCACACUAUGGGAGUGGGUUUUACCAGAAGUAGUUACCUAACCGUAAGGAGGGCGAUUACCACGGUAGGAUUCAUGACUGGGGUGAAGUCGGAACAAGGUAGCCUU
rnacentral:rRNA from 1 species